CCAGUAGGAUUUCAAACAAGAUCAACUCUAGCCGCGUACACAGCGCAGCGGGCUCGUAGAUGCCACCGACAACUGCCUUUGCCAAAUAUCCUUUUGCUUAGUCAGACGGACAUGGACACAAGACUUGAUGAUAUUAGAGAACACCGCGAAAUUGAUAUCUAAAGUUUUACGUAACCUGUGUGAUAAUUGCUGUAGCUAAAAGGUUGUGAAGCUGAGCAGUGCAGUGAAUGUGUGUGAUAAGCCUUUUCGGGGCCAGUGCUGUGGGUGAAAAAGGAUUGAACGGCAAACAUGACGGAGUUUUUCGGACCAUGGGACGACAAGCCCGACGAAGACGGGGAGGUGGUGGAAACGGUGGAAACCGUGGAGACCGUUACCACGACCACUACAAAGACACGAUACCCAUCCAAGUCGUCAUCGACAAAGACGACGACAAUGACGACGCCAGCCAAGCUGUACGGACGAGAGCUGUCCACGUACGACGAGGUGGACGUCGACGAGCUCCUGUCCAAGUUGACACAGGAGGAACUUACCAUGUUGGCGAAGGAAGUUGAUCCAGACGACACCUUUCUGCCGCCGUCACAGCGUAACAAUUACGAUUGCGAAAAGGACCCAACGGGCCCCCUCAACCGCAAGAAGUUGAUCGAGCACAUCAACAAACAGGCGUUAGAGACGCCCGACCGGCCGGAGGUGAAGCCCUAUGUCGCCGGCGUCAUACGUGGCAAGAAGUGGAUCCCACCGCCGCCGCCAGAGAAGGUUCGCGAUGCGGAAGAACAAAUUUCAAUAGACCUUGGUGAUGAGUAUGAGCAAGCUCUGGGCACCGCCACACAGGAGGAAAUCAUCGAUCUCGCCGCUAUCCUGGGCUUCCACUCUAUGAUGAAUCAGGACCAGUACCACGCAUCACUAUUAAACAAAGGCCAACCAGUCGGCCUCGGCUGGGACGGCAUCACAAAAGCGACCAAACCUAAAGUAUACCCCAUGGAUCCCCCUAAUGACACAGACCCAGAUGACACAAUCAAGAGAGUACAAGACAACGACCAGAAACUGACUGACAUAAAUUGGAAUAAUAUUAAGAAUAUAAGCGAUGAGAAGUUCGAGAAAUUAUUCGAGGCCCUGAAGACCAAUACCCACGUGGAGGUGGUAUCGUUGGUGAACGUGGGCCUCCACGACCGCACCGCGGCGCAGCUGGCGGCCGCGCUCGAGGUCAACUCCACACUCAGGGUGGUCAACGUGGAGACCAACUUCAUCAGCCCCGCGGGGGUCGUGCAGCUUGUGCGCGCUCUGCUACCAACCACCAGUGUCGAGGAGUUCCGCGCCUCCAAUCAGAGGUCACAAGUCCUGGGCAACAAGAUCGAAAUGGAGAUCACCGCGCUGGUGGAGCAAAAUCCCACGUUGCUGCGACUGGGCCUUCACCUGGAGUACUCGGACGCGCGCCAUCGCGUCGCCAGCCAUCUGCAACGCAACAUCGACAGAAAUUGCCGAAUACAAAAGCGAGCUAGCGCAUCACUAAGCUUGCGGUUGCCCCGCGGCCGACCGCCGGCCGUUGGUGUUGACAGUAGCUUCUUCAACCUUACGCCACCUAGUGCCGAGGCAGUCACACCAACGAAAGAUGAGCAAAAGGCCAUAACAGAUAAGCCGGUGACAAAUGAAAAUGUCGAGAAAUCGGUGACGAUUGAAGCUUCAGAGAGCCCGGUCGUAAACAAGAUGGUAGGCGAAAAAAUAAUACCAAUCGAUGUUGAUCAACCGAGUGAAACAGAUAACCAAGUAUCCAAUGUAGAAACACCGAGUGAUACCAGCAAAUCACUAUCACAACAACAAUUAAUACCAGAAAGCACGGAAAUACCGGUUCCGGGUAAUGUUCAACCGGGUGAUGCUGGGAAAUCUGAGACGCAGCCACAGGAGGAUGUACAGAGGCUACGCGACCCAUUCGUCCUUGCUGAGAGACCAGAUAUAAACCCCAAUCCCCACUCCCGAGAGGGGAGCGUAGAACCGAAUCAUAUAUUGUAGAACGGCCAUGAACAUCGUACGCCAGCAGCGGCGCAGCCAGAACAACGCGUAGAACCUUGAACUCUCACUUGUGGUGGUCGCGUACGCCGCCUGACCCAGUUCACGCGCAGCCGCAGCUACGUGGUGGGCUGGAUCCCUUGAGCUGGCGGUUUCCUCGCCCCGCGCCCGCUCGCUGGCCCCUCCGCUUUGUCGCAUUGGUAUUUGUGAAUGUGUAGUAUAGUGUACUAGGUAAUCACAACACAAAUGUUACGUUUUGAACCCUAUCUCCUUGUGGUAUGGUUCAUAAGGGGUGUAUUACACUAUCAGACAUAUGACUAUGUCUAGUUUGUUUUAUGGGUUGUACCAGUAUCUAAGUUGAUUAUUACCGAUUAAAGUUGAAAUAAAAGGCACACUGCAUUCUUUGAUUAGAUGGGUUCAUUUGACUGUAGCCUAACCCUUUUACGAUUGUCUGGAAUUUCUUUUGUCAGUGACCAACUUACAUUUUAUAGUUUUAAAUGUUUUUCUUUUUCAUUUGACAACUGCCAAUCUUUUCAUUUAGUCAUAUUUUGAAUAUCAGAACAUUUUUCUACAAAAAAUGUUUUCCUAAUCUUUAUUUAUGACUAGGAUAUGCUAUAUAGUGUGUUCGAUAGUGUAAUAUGCCCCUUAGUAGUGUGUAAGCGUGCUUUUGUUAGUGAUGCUAUACUAUGAACUUUUCCUUAGUGCAAGCGUUCGCUGUAUACUGUUCAACGUACAUUUUAAGAGUAAAUUUCAAUAUUUGUAAUAAUCAUGUUAGAUUGUACAAUUUAUGGAUGUAAUGCGUUUUUAUAUCUUGCCAUGAGUCUUGGAUUCAUAAAUCGUCGCUUAGAUUCAAAUUGAAAAUGAAAAUAUUUGUCUCCAUUCAAUACUAAAUAAUUCUCACAUAUAGCCAUCUCUCUUUUACCGCCGUGGUUAAAGGGAGAUAGAAUAUUGUACUUUAAUCUUGGCCAUUGAUAAACGUCAAAGCAAUGCAACUAUUAGUGUUAUCAAACUGUUCUUUAUAGUUAUCAACCUACACAAUCACAAAAACCUUUAUUAAAAAAAAAUGUAAACGUGGCGAUAGUAUGUUGUGCGUGGAUAAGGAUUGUCACUUUAUUUUUUAUUAAUGGCAACUGGCGACAUUAUAAUAUUACAAAAAUAACUAGAUGAUGGCAGGACCAACACUAGAUUAGUACUAAAAAAUAUGAGCUCAUUUUUAAUAUAUAUAUAUAUAUAUAU
rnacentral:misc_RNA from 1 species